rnacentral:rRNA from 1 species
CCUACGGGUGGCUGCAGUGGGGAAUAUUGCACAAUGGGGGAAACCCUGAUGCAGCGACGCCGCGUGAGUGAAGAAGUAUUUCGGUAUGUAAAGCUCUAUCAGCAGGGGAGAAAAUGACGGUACCUGAUUCAGAAGUCCCGGCUAACUACGUGCCAGCAUCCGGGGUAAUACGUAGGGGGCAAGCGUUAUCCGGAUUUACUGGGUGUAAAGGGGGCGUAAACGGCAGCACAAGUCUGGAGUGAAAUGCCGGGGGUUAACCCCGGAACUGCUUUGGAAACUGUGCAGCUAGAGUGCAGGAGAGGUAAGUGGAAUGCCUGGUGUAGCGGUGAAAUGCGUAGAUAUUAGGAGGAACACCAGUGGCGAAGGCGGCUUACUGGACUGUAACUGACGUUGAGGCUCGAAAGCGUGGGGAGCAAACAGGAUUAGAUACCCUUGUAGUC